GACUGUCUGCGACUGCUUAACGAUUUUAUGUGAACCAGGCUUUAAGCCUGGUUCACAUAAAAUCGUUAAGCAGUCGCAGACAUGUGCCGAAUUUUUA
rnacentral:miRNA from 1 species